rnacentral:rRNA from 1 species
UACGUAGGCAGCAAGCGUUGUUCGGAAUUACUGGGCGUAAAGCGAGUGUAGGCGGUUUACCAAGUCUGUUGUGAAAUCUCCCGGCUCAACUGGGAGGGUGCGGCGGAUACUGGUGAACUAGAGUGCGAGAGGGGAGAGUGGAAUUCCUGGUGUAGCGGUGAAAUGCGUAGAUAUCAGGAGGAACACCGGUGGUGAAGACGGCUCUCUGGAUCGUGACUGACGCUGAGACUCGAAAGCGUGGGGAGCAAAC